rnacentral:hammerhead_ribozyme from 1 species
AUCAAGCGGACGAGUCCCAAAUAGGACGAAACGCGCGUCCUGGAU